rnacentral:rRNA from 1 species
UUGAAAGGAAACGAUUGAAGUCAGUCAUACCAACGGGAAAUCAACCUUUUGAGCUUUGUCUCGUGGGUUCGAAGAGUUUAAACGCCUUCGGGUUCGCGAGAUUGGGAUCUUCUGGUGUACUUUCUCGUACGGUUAGUCAACAUCGGUUUUGAAUGUCAUAAAAUGACUGGAGGAAUGUAGCUUCGAUCUCGUAUCGAAGUGUUAUAGCCUUUGGUAGAUGUGAUGUUUGAGACCGAGGAUUGCAACGGAUACCCUUCAUGGGCUAUUCGCCUGAUCUCUGAUACGUUGCCUUGACGUUGAAAGCUUGCUUAUGAUGUUAGGGUAUUACGGUCAAAAGGUUAGAACGGAUUAAAUUCGUUAAGGAUGUUGACGU